UCCUGGCUCAGACGAACGCUGGCGGCGUGCCUAAUACAUGCAAGUAGAACGCUGAGGACUGGUGCUUGCACUGGUCUAAGGAGUUGCGAACGGGUGAGUAACGCGUAGGUAACCUACCUCAUAGCGGGGGAUAACUAUUGGAAACGAUAGCUAAUACCGCAUGACAAUAGGGUACACAUGUACCCUAUUUAAAAGGGGCAAAUGCUUCACUAUGAGAUGGACCUGCGUUGUAUUAGCUAGUUGGUAAGGUAACGGCUUACCAAGGCGACGAUACAUAGCCGACCUGAGAGGGUGAUCGGCCACACUGGGACUGAGACACGGCCCAGACUCCUACGGGAGGCAGCAGUAGGGAAUCUUCGGCAAUGGGGGGAACCCUGACCGAGCAACGCCGCGUGAAGUGAAGAAGGUUUUCGGAUCGUAAAGCUCUGUUGUUAGAGAAGAACGGUAAUGGGAGUGGAAAAUCCAUUACGUGACGGUAGCUAACCAGAAAGGGACGGCUAACUACGUGCCAGCAGCUGC
rnacentral:rRNA from 1 species